ensembl:lncRNA
GGAAAAGAGACACGGAGGAGGAGAGAAGCAACUCUUGAUUGGACACCACAUGUAUCAAAUAUGAUGGAGGCAGUGUAAUGGCAUAGUGUGAUUUCAAAUUCACCAUUGUGGUCCGCACAGGCAGAACUAUGAAAAACAUACCAUUGACCCAACUGUAUGCACUACUGUCCAAAAGUUGUGGAUACUUUGCACAGCUGGACUGGCCAUCGGGCAUACCGGGCAUUUGCCAGAAUGAUGACACACUGAAAAGAAUUCCACAUGACAGAACUUCAAAGUCUAUAAAGAGAGGUUGUAACCUUGAGUCAUUCCAU